UUCCAGCUCCAAUAGCGUAUAUUAAAGUUGUUGCAGUUAAAAAGCUCGUAGUUGAACUUCAGACCUGGCUGGGUGGUCCGCUUAACGGCGUGUACUGCUUGGCUGGGCCUUACUUCUUGGUGAGCCGGCGUGCCCUUUAUUGGUGUGCGUCGGGGAACCAGGACUUUUACCUUGAGAAAAUUAGAGUGUUCAAAGCAGGCUAUCCUCGCCUGAAUACUGCGUGCAUGGAAUAAUGGAAUAGGACCUCGGUUCUAUUUUGUUGGUUUUCGGAACCCCGAGGUAAUGAUUAAUAGGGACAGAUGGGGGCAUUCGUAUUGCGACGUUAGAGGUGAAAUUCUUGGAUCGUCGCAAGACGGACAGAAGCGAAAGCAUUUGCCAAAAAUGUUUUCAUUAAUCAAGAACGAAAGUUAGAGGUUCGAAGGCGAUCAGAUACCGCCCUAGUUCUAACCAUAAACGAUGCCAGCUAGCGAUCCGCCGAAGUUCCUCCGAUGACUCGGCGGGCAGCUUCCGGGAAACCAAAGCUUUUGGGUUCCGGGGGAAGUAUGGUUGCAAAGCUGAAACUUAAAGGAAUUGACGGAAGGGCACCACCAGGAGUGGAGCCUGCGGCUUAAUUUGACUCAACACGGGAAACCUCACCAGGCCCAGACACCGGAAGGAUUGACAGAUUGAUAGCUCUUUCUUGAUUCGGUGGGUGGUGGUGCAUGGCCGUUCUUAGUUGGUGGAGCGAUUUGUCUGGUUAAUUCCGAUAACGAACGAGACUCUAGCCUGCUAAAUAGGCGUACCUUAUGGUAUCGCGAAGGCCCCCGGCUUCGGCCGGUGGGUUUUUACUACCAAC
rnacentral:rRNA from 1 species